AUAAGAUAUACUAUCAGAAGCAGGUCAGCAUGCUUCAAGUCAUCCUCAAAGCAUGAGAACACAUCAAUGCUUUCCAUUGAUCCACGGUAGGCUAGCAACAUUGUACAUUCUAUUAGAGACUAACAAUCACACCAGAUAAAAAGAUAAUAAUGCUAGAGAUGUACAUUUGAGAAGGCCUAUGCAAGUCUGGCCAGACACAUGACGUAGUGUGAGACAGUAAUUGGAACUGAUACGAUCACCUUUCCAGUUGUAACAGUUACUUGGAGAUGUGUGAUGUCGGUUCUUUACGAUGAGUUCAGGGUUCUUUAUGAUGAGUUCUUAGUGUUCCAUUGUAACAGGUCGGGGACAGUCAAUGUGGACAAGUGGAGUCAAAGUGAGCUGUCUGAAUGGGACAUCAACAGGAUCCGCAGUGGUGGCGGCAGGAUUUUUUCACUGGGCCCUAUUUUUGACGGCACUUCAGCACCGUCUUGCCCCGGCCCAAAGCCGCCAAUGAGGAUCAGGAAUUCCCGAAUGUCCAAGCCUUUUAGAAUACCAAGCGCAGCAUCACGGAGUGCCAAUGUCUCACGGGUAACCACUGCUAGGACCCAACGCUUACAUGAUUUUAAGACCGACACACUGCAGGACAGCCAGAGUCAGCUCAGAGCUGAUACCAGCCUAAAGAGCAUUGAUCUUGGGCAGCACAGGAAAUCAGUCCAUGUGAGGAAUGGUGGUUUGAAGCCUUUGAAACCUGUUGGCGCACAGAGACCAAGUAUAUUCCAGUGUACUGGCAUAACUCCAGACCCUACGAAGAAUGUGCGAGAGAAAUACCACCAGGGUGACAACACGGCUCCUGUGUUCAAGCGCUUCUAUGAGGUGAUGCUUGAGGAGCCACAGAGGAGACGUCAAGACAGGCAAAGAUCUGCCCACACAUCAGGAACAUUUGGAGGUCACAUGGAUGAUGAACACCUAGAGACCGCUACAUCAGGUUACUGCCUGGAGGUCCCUAGCUGCUCCCCAAACACCCUGCAGCUUCAGCUAGAGGGCCUGUGUCUGCAGGGGGAGUGGGGCCAGCUGGGUGGGGAUAAGAGGUGUAGCUCACUACCUACAAGUCACCCAGUAAAAGAGACUUUCUUCAAGAGUAUGGUAUCAAAUGACUCCCAUAAGGACGCAGGGUGUGCGAGUGGCAGGAAAAUAGAGGACACAAGUAAAGAGGACAGUUCGAAGGACACAGCAGACCCUUUCUUCAUUAACAAGUGGGAUCCAGGCCAGCUUAAAGUCACCUUCACACUUAAAGACUCAAAUGAGCAGAUGAUAAAGAGCGGCCUCCAAAAGCCAUCCUCUUCCUGAAACUCAGCAAGAAUCGACUCCAUAUUCUUUAUAGUGGUCACUUGACAUCAGUGGUGGAAAAAGUACCCAAUUGUCAUACUUGAGUAAAAGUAAAGACACCAUAAUCGAAAGUGACUUAAGUAAAAGUGAACAUCACCCAGUAAAAUACUACUUGAGUAAAAGUCUAAAAGUAUUGGUUUUAAAUAUACUUAAGUAUCACAAUUAAAAAUUAUUUCAAAUUCCUUAUAUUAAGCCAUACAGACAGCACCAUUUUUUACAUUUACGGACAGGCAGGGGCACACUCCAGACAUAAUUUACAAAUUGACCAUGUGUGUUUAGUGAGUCCGCCAGAUCAUAGACAGUAGAGACGACCAGGGGUGUUCUCUUGAUAAAGAGCGUGAAUUGGAGCCUUUUCCUGUCCUGCUAAGCACUCAAAAUGUAACGUGCACUGUUGGGUGUCAGGGAAAAUGUAUGUUGUAAAAUGUACAUCAUUUUCUUUAGGAAUGUAGUGAAGUAAAAGUUGUCAAAAAUAUAAAUAGUAAAGUACAGAAAAAAAUACUUAAGUAGUACUUAAAAGUGGUGUAAGUAAAAAUACUUUAACUUUACACUGCUGCUCUACAUUGUGAGGUCUGAGAUGAAAUUAAAAGGUCUGGCUGCUAUAGUUUCAACAUACUGUAUGUCUGAUAUUUUAAAUCCUGUAUGAGUCAUUGCUGCCCUUGACAACUUCCAUUUUUUAUACUAUUUUUGGACUUCAAGAUACACGACAAGGUCAAAAGUAUGUGGACACCUGCUCGUCGAACAUCUCAUUGCAAAUGAAUGGGCAUUAAUAUGGAGUUGGUCCCCCCUUUGCUGCUAUAACAGCCUCCACUCUUCUGGGAAGGCUUUCCACUACAUGUUGGAACAUUGCUGCAGGGACUUGCUUCCAUUCAGUCACAAGAGCAUUAGUGAGGUUGGGCACUGAUUGUCAUGUGGGGACUGAAAUGUGACUGAAGUAACACAAACAUAGACACAGGCAUACAAACACAUAACAUACGCACUAUAAACACAUGUACACAUGGACUUUGUGUUGUAUAUAUGUGGUAGUGGAGUAUGGGCCUGAGGCCACACAGUGUGUUGUGAAUUCUGUAAUGAAUGUAUUGUAAUGUUAUUAAAAUUGUAUAACUGCCUUCAUUUUGCCGGACCCCAAGAAAAGUCACUGCUGCCUUUGCAGCAGCUAAUGGGGAUCCAUAAUACAAAUGCUGAAACAGGAAAGGGCCUUCCCCAAACUGUUGCCACAAAGUUGAAAGCACAGAAUCGUCUAGAAUGUCAUUGUAUGCUGGAGCGUUAAGAUUUCCCUUCACUGGAACUAAGGGGCCUAGCCCGAACCAGCCCCAGACCAUUAUUCGUCCUUCACCAAACUUUACAGUUGGCACUAUGCAUUCGUGCAGGUAGCGUUCUCCUUGCAUCCGCCAAACCCAGAUUUGUCCGUAUGACUGCAAGAUUGUGAAGAGUGAUUCAUCACUCCAGAGAACGCGUUUCCACUGCUCCAGAGUCCAAUGGCAGCGAGCUUUACACCACUCCAGCCAACCCUUGGCAUUGUGCAUGCUUAUCUUAGGCUUGUGUGAGUCUGCUUGGCCAUGGAAACCCAUUUCAUGAAGCUAUCAAAGAACAGUUAUUGUGCUGACGUUGCUUCCAGAGGCAGUUUGGAACUCGGUAGUGAGUGUUGCAACCGAGGACAGACGAUUUCUACACGCUUUAGCACUCAGCGGUCCCGUUCUGUGAGCUUAUGUGGCCUACCACUUUGCGGCUGAGCUGUUGCUGCUCCUAGACGUUUCCACUUCACAAUAACAGCACUUACAGUUGACCGGAGCAGCUCUAGCAGGGCAGAAAUUUGAUUAACUGACUUGUUGGAAAGGUGGAACCCAAUGACGGUGCCACGUUGAAAGUCACUGAGCUCUUUAGUAAGGCCAUUCUACUGCCAAUGUUUGUCUAUGGAGAUUGUAGGGGUGUCCACAUACUCUUGUAUAUAUAUACACUGCUCAAAAAAAUUAAGGGAACACUUAAACAACACAAUGUAACUCCAAGUCAAUCACACUUCUGUGAAAUCAAACUGUCCACUUAGGAAGCAACACUGAUUGACAAUAAAUUUCACAUGCUGUUGUGCAAAUGGAA
rnacentral:lncRNA from 1 species